rnacentral:lncRNA from 1 species
UUUUUCCUUAAUGUGGCAACUAGAAUGUUUAGCAUUACCUAGGUAACUUAAAGGAAGGCACCAAAUCAAUCCUGGAAAACUGAAAAGCACCGUUUUACAGCAAGCCCAGGAGAAAGAAGUAGGAGGUUAUGAUGUAAAGGAGACAAGGAGGAGAAAGCCUAAGGAGUCUGGUAACUUCAAGGAUAACCUAGAAGAUGAGGGAGAAGGAGUUCCCAUCGUGGUGCAGCAGAAACGAAUCCGACUAGCGAACCAUGAGGUUACGGGUUCGAUCCCUGGCCUCGCUCAUGGGUUAAGGGUCCAGCAUUGCUGUGAGCUGUGGUGUAGGUCACAGAUAUGACAGGGAUCCUGCAUUGUUGUGGCUGUGGUAUAGGCCAGGAGCUGCAGUUCUGAUUCAACCCCUAGUCUGGGAACUUCCAUGUGCCUCAGGUAUGGCCCUAAAAAGACAACAACAACAACAAAAACAACAACCAAAAAAACACAAAUAAAACAGGGUUUAGGAGAAGUAGACCAAGGCUUCACAGCAGCCAUUUACCAUCAUGUAGACUGAAAUUAGGUAGAGAAAGGCCAUGAGUCAAACCACUUCGACAGUAAGUUGUACACAGAGGACACGUUAGGAAGGUCUCUGGUGAGGCAGGAGGACAGGGAGGCUUUAAUGCCUAAUUGUGUCAGGUCAGAGAAACCGGUUGACUUAACAUUUUGGUUUGUGCUAGCUUCUCAAUGUUCCACUAGUAGACUCAGAGCUCUAAGUACUUGGGUUUCUAUAUAGUCCUAGGUGAUAACAGAUCAUUUUGUGUUUAGGUACAUCUGCAUCCUCUUCUUAUGUGGUUCUAUAUAUACAUUGACCUCUUCAAGGGCAAGGAUCUUCUACUUCCCAGAAAUGUACCUUGAACUUGACUGGAUGGUCAAGAAAUCUACCUUGACCAUCAACCUUGAUCUGACUUCUAUUUCUACUUAAAUAUACCCACUUCUUAUCUUUUCUCCAAAUUUUCUUUUUUUUUCCUCUGUACGUCUUUAUUGAGAUAGAAAUGACAUACAACAAAUUGCACAUAUUUAAAUUGUACACAUUAAUGUUUUGAAGCAUGUACAAAUCCUUAACAUCAUCAACACAGUCAGGUGAACACAUCCAUAAUUCCCCCAAAUAUUCCCAGGCCCUUUUGUAAAGUAAUGCAUGCCUCCACCCACUACCUCUCCCCCUACAUUCCAGGAACCACUGGUCUGCUUUUUAUUUCAUUUCAUAUUUUUAUAGAGUUUUAUAUCAAUAAAAUUGCACAGAGCACAUUCUUUCGUUGUAGAGGGGUCUGGCUUCUUCAUUUUACACAAUGUAAUUACUUGAGAGUUUACUCGUAUGUUAUUUUUCAUCAGUUAUUGAUUCGUUUUUUCAUUUUGUAACCUUUUAUUGGCAUACAGUUGAUUUACAAGGUUGUGAUAAUUUCUGCUGUUUAGCAAAGUGAUUCGGUUACCAUAUACACAUAUCCAUUCUCUUUCAGAUUCUUUCCCCACAUAGAUUAUCACAGAAUAUUGGGUAGAGUUCUCUGUGCUAUACAGCAGGUCCCCAUUGGCCAAUUAUUCCAUACACCACAGUGUGCAUAUGCCCAUCUCAAACCUCUAGUCCAUCUGCCCCCACCUGUCCCCUUUGGUAACCAUAGUUUGUUUUCAAAGUCUGUGAGUCUGAUUCUGUUCUGAGAAUAAGUUCACUUGUAUCCUCUUUCUAGAUUUCACAUAUAAGUGACAUAAUAUGAUGUUUAUCCUUCACUGUCUACCUUCACUUGGUAUGAUAAUUUCUAGAUCCAUCCAUGUAGAUUAAUCUCUAAGUGCUGUCUCGGUUCUAGAAGGGUCUCUCACACUAUGGAGACCAAAUGCUUUGGCUCUUGGGAAGACAAUGUCACAGUGUUAUCCCAGUCUCCUGACUACUUCAAGUUUCAGAAGCAAAUCCUGCAGCUUGAGGAUCAAUGAAGACCCACAACACCCUAGGGACUGCACUGCGCUUUCUCUUCUUUCUCUAACCUCAAAUUCCAUAUUCCUCCAUAGAUGUGCUAUAUUCAUUCAUGCAAUGGCCAGAAGUCCAUGUACAAAGUAUGGCGGAUGCUUUCAGUUUUACUCUAAAGACUCCCUAGGUUAAAAACAUAUAGUUUACAUAAAACUUUGCCAAGAACUCCCAAAUAUGGCAGUUCUGUAAGAGCCUUUCAGUUUUUCUGAACUCAUGUCCCCAUGUCUUAUAAUCAUGUAAAAUGUCAAAAGGAUCUUAAAAUAUCAGCUAGUUUUAACAAACUCUUCAAAAUCAUGUUAUGUAGCUUUUUUUUUUUUAAUAAAAAGAAUGAAGAAAGAAAUCCUAACACUGUAUUAUCAAAUGGUUAGGGUAUCAUCAAAUUAACUCUGAAUAAAUUAGAUAUUUCUCUUACCUCUGUGGUUUGUGUACCGCCCCCUUCUACAAAUUAAAAAAAUAUACAUAUAUAAGUACAGACAUACAUAUAAAGUUAUUUAAAAUAUGGCAGAUUAUCUAAUAUUGUAUCCCAUUUAAGUGCUUCUCAAAGUUUUUCAGGCUUCCCAGGGUUGAUCAUUUUGUGCAAGUUUUGGAUCAAAGCCCAGAGCACUUGGUCUAUAUAAUAACAAAAAUAAUGCCCACCAUCACAAAGCAUCCAGCAAAUUCAAGUUUGUCAAAAUAGACCAAAAGCUCUCCCUGUUCACAACCCAGCCUGAGCCUCAAUCUAGUGCCACCUAGGGAGAAUUCCAAACAGAUUGCAUAAUCUAGAGCUGUUGUGCUCCAAGGGGGUCAGGGGCAGUGAACUGUGAACUGUCAGCUAUUGGAAGGGGAAAAAAACCACCUUAGAAAAUAGAGUAUGGCUCCUGACUGGCUAUGAAUCGAAGCAAUCUUACUUCCGGCUCUGUAACAGAAUUCUAUCAUCUCUAAUCCCUCAACAAACAACAAAGAUGCUCCCCAAACAUCCUGUCUUCCAAGUCAUCCUGGAAUUUAACUUUUUCCCCCUCUGUUGGCUAUUUAGUUUUCAGAUUUUUAUGGAUUUCAGAGAUUCACAAAUUGAUUUGGAAAUGUCAACAGACCUAUGAGUUUGCUUCUAUUUAUAGUGCAGUGGUGGUAGGUGGGAGGAGAAGAGGCUGAUGGGAACUUUCAGGAAGUCAAGAGAACAGAAAAACAAGUCUUCUCAGUGGCCUUAAACCCACAUGGUAGACACAUAGCUUCUACAUUCAGCCUAGUAGAUUAGAUGUGAAUCAGCCCUGAAGAAGCUGGUGUGGAUCUGGGGAGGAAAAGACUUUCUUAACUAGCAGCACACAAAGGAAUUAGAUGGUGGGAGACCAGUAUUUUAGCAAUAACUGCACAAUUUCCAAGUUAGCUUGGCUUUUUUUUUUUUUUUAAUAGUCUCAGCAACCCCACACAAUAUUCAAACAAGCAAGUGCAAACAGUCUCCCAAGUAAUUCAGGAGUGAUGCCUGGGCUCUUUAUAUAUGAAAGGAAAAGACAAAUUGAAUAACUCAGGACUGCCAAACUACCAU